AGCAGCCGCGGUAAUUCCAGCUCCAAUAGCGUAUAUUAAAGUUGUUGCAGUUAAAAAGCUCGUAGUUGAAUUUCGAGAUCAAUUUGUUGGUCGUGCCUCGGUACGUACUGGCAAUUUUGGUUUCUCCCUUCUGAAGAACCAUGAUGUCAUUAAUUUGGUGUCAUGGGGAAUCAGGACUGUUACUUUGAAAAAUUAGAGUGUUUAAAGCAGGCUCGCGCUUGAAUACAUUAGCAUGGAAUAAUGAAAUAGGACGUUUGAUUCUAUUUUGUUGGUUUCUAGGAUCGACGUAAUGAUUAAUAGGGAUAGUUGGGGGCAUUAGUAUUCAAUUGUCAGAGGUGAAAUUCUUGGAUUUAUUGAAGACUAACUACUGCGAAAGCAUUUGCCAAGGAUGUUUUCAUUAAUCAAGAACGAAAGUUAGGGGAUCGAAGACGAUCAGAUACCGUCGUAGUCUUAAC
rnacentral:rRNA from 1 species